rnacentral:rRNA from 1 species
GAUGAACGCUGGCGGCGUGCCUAAUACAUGCAAGUCGAGCGAACAGACGAGGAGCUUGCUCCUCUGACGUUAGCGGCGGACGGGUGAGUAACACGUGGAUAACCUACCUAUAAGACUGGGAUAACUUCGGGAAACCGGAGCUAAUACCGGAUAAUAUAUUGAACCGCAUGGUUCAAUAGUGAAAGACGGUUUUGCUGUCACUUAUAGAUGGAUCCGCGCCGCAUUAGCUAGUUGGUAAGGUAACGGCUUACCAAGGCAACGAUGCGUAGCCGACCUGAGAGGGUGAUCGGCCACACUGGAACUGAGACACGGUCCAGACUCCUACGGGAGGCAGCAGGAGGGAAUCUUGCGAAAUGGGCGAAAGCCUGACGGAGCAACGCCGCGUGAGUGAUGAAGGUCUUCGGAUCGUAAAACUCUGUUAUUAGGGAAGAACAAAUGUGUAAGUAACUAUGCACGUCUUGACGGUACCUAAGCAGAAAGCCACGGCUAACUACGU